ACAUGUUAGCACUAAUUCUCAUUUCCAUUUGUGGCUUGGUUUUAUUUUCAAUUCUCCUUGGCAAUAUGCAGGUAACUAAUUCCUCAACCAUCUCAUGGCCAAAAUCAAUUUGAGUCAGCAUAAACCUUUGGAUCCUCUUUUUAAAAGAUUACCUUCAUUCCAACCAUCCAGCAUUAUAGCAUGGCAACAGUUAUUGGACUGUGUCUGCGAGUUAAGCUGAUGUGUUGUUUCCCUUCACAUUUUAAGAGCAAGUGUUCGCUGACACACAACCAUUGAUCAGAUCUGUUCUCGAUGGUUACAAUGCCUGCAUCUUUUGCACAUGGGCAAACAGGCUAUGGGAAGACAUACACAAUGGUAAUAUCAACAAUGCACUCACUAAGAUAAUGUAGCUUUGAUUUUCUUUAGAUGAAGAUGUCCAAGUUAGACAGAAAAAUAGUAUGAUCAUUGGUAUUUCUGCAAGUGAAUAUUAUGAUCACACUGUUGGUUUUAUGCUUACUGAGCACUGAUAAAAACACCAUUUUCUAUUGCUUGAAAUGAAUUGGAAUUCAUUGAUAUUAUUAGAACUCAGAUCCUUUUUGUCCUUGCUCUCCAUAUCUAUUGCUUGAUUCAGUGUACCCUACAAGUAAUUAUGAUAAUGUCAAGAAGUAGAUCAAAUGAGGAAUAAUUUCUUCCUUUUCUAUAUAUAACUGGACAACCAAUAGGGGUUGUGCGGUUGUAGGUAGGGUUGUCAAUGGGUAGGGUCCUAUUAGGCCUAUUUGAAUGCUACUUUUUGACUCUCUUUUUUUCCUUGUGUGCAGGAUUUUAAUCAAUUGUGCCUAAAUUUAGGCCUACAAGCACUUAAGCCUUUUGACACCACUCGUGCUAGGAGUAAACCAUAUAGAGGAUUUGUUAUUUGUUAUUUUUAUUUUUAAUUCAAGACCAUUUUCAAUUUAUUGUAAUAAAUAUUAUAUAUAUUUUUUUAUUGUGUAGUAAUAUAAACUUUGUUUAAUAUUCA